GACGAACGCUGGCGGCGUGCUUAACACAUGCAAGUCGAACGGAAAGGCCCUGCUUUUUUGGGGUGCUCGCGUGGCGAACGGGUGAGUAACACGUGAGUCACCUGCCCUUGACUUUGGGAUAACUUCAGGCAACUGCUGCUAAUACCGGAUAGGAGCUCCUGCUGCAUGGUGGGGGUUGGACCGUUUGGGUGGUUGUGGAUGGACGCGCGGGUUACUAGCUUGUUGGGUGGGGAGUCGCUUACGGAGCGAUCGGAUGGUGGCCGGCCUGGGAGGGGGGACGGCGACAUGGGGACUGAGGUAGGCCGCAGAGGGCAAUAGGAGGCAGCAGGGGGGAAUAUGGCACAGUGGGGCGAAGCCUGAGGCAGCAACGCCGCGUGCGGAAUGACGGCCAUCGGGUUGUAAACCGCAUUAGCCUGUGACGAAGCGUGAUUGACGGUAAUGGGUAAAGAAGCACCGGCUAACUACGUG
rnacentral:rRNA from 1 species